UAGAAUCUGAAAAGCCCAAGAAUGGUGAACA
rnacentral:piRNA from 1 species